rnacentral:misc_RNA from 1 species
GAAAUGCGAUAAGUAGUGUGAAUUGCAGAAUUCAGUGAAUCAUCGAAUCUUUGAACGCACAUUGCGCCCCUUGGUAUUCCAUGGGGCAUGCCUGUUCGAGUGUCAUUUGUACCCUCAAGCUCUGCUUGGUGUUGGGUGUUUGUCCCCGUCUCCGCGCGUGGACUCGCCCCAAAGUGAUUGGCAGCCGGCGUACUGGUCCCGGAGCGCAGCACAUGUCGCGCAAACGAGUGCCUUGGUACGGCGGCGUCCAUAAGCCCCUCUCUCACGCUCUUGACCUCGGAUCAGGUAGGGAUACCCGCUGAACUUAAGC